UGGGGAAUAUUGGGCAAUGGACGCAAGUCUGACCCAGCAACGCCGCGUGAAGGAAGAAGGCUUUCGGGUUGUAAACUUCUUUUAAGAGGGAAGAGGAGAAGACGGUACCUCUUGAAUAAGCCACGGCUAACUACGUGCCAGCAGCCGCGGUAAUACGUAGGUGGCAAGCGUUGUCCGGAUUUACUGGGUGUAAAGGGCGUGUAGCCGGGUGUGCAAGUCAGAUGUGAAUCUGGAGGCUCAACCUCCAAACUGCAUUUGAAACUGCGCAUCUUGAGUAUCGGAGAGGUAACCGGAAUUCCUAGUGUAGCGGUGAA
rnacentral:rRNA from 1 species